rnacentral:rRNA from 1 species
UGCCUAAUGCAUGCAAGUCGAACGCAGCAGGCGNGCCUGGCUGCGUGGCGAACGGCUGAGGAACACGUGGGUGACCUGCCCCGGAGUGGGGGAUACCCCGUCGAAAGACGGGACAAUCCCGCAUACGCUCGACGGAGGAAAGCCGCAAGGCGCUCUGGGAGGGGCCUGCGGCCCAUCAGGUAGUUGGUGUGGUAACGGCGCACCAAGCCAAUGACGGGUACCCGGUCUGAGAGGACGACCGGGCAGACUGGGACUGAGAGACGGCCCAGACUCCUACGGGAGGCAGCAGCAAGGAAUUUUCCCCAAUGGGCGCAAGCCUGAGGGAGCAACGCCGCGUGGAGGACGACGGCCUUCGGGUUGUAAACUCCUUUCGGGUGGGACGAUGCUGACGGUACCACCAGAAGCAGCCCCGGCUAACUCUGUGCCAGCAGCCGCGGUAAGACAGAGGGGGCAAGCGUUGUCCGGAGUUACUGGGCGUAAAGGGCGCGCAGGCGGUGGGCUGCGUCGGCGCUGAAAGCGCCCCGCUUAACGGGGCGAGGCGCGCCGAUACGAGUCCACUCGAGGCAAGCAGAGGGUGGCGGAAUUCCGGGUGGAGCGGUGAAAUGCGUAGAGAUCCGGAGGAACGCCGGUGGGGAAGCCGGCCACCUGGGCUCGACCUGACGCUGCGGCGCGACAGCGUGGGGAGCAAACCGGAUUAGAUACCCGGGUAGUCCACGCCGUAAACGAUGCCGGCUCGGCGUCUGGCGCACGUUGGUGUGCUGGGUGCCUUAGCUCACGCGGUAAGCCGGCCGCCUGGGGACUACGA